rnacentral:rRNA from 1 species
GCCUACGGGACGCAGCAGUGGGGAAUAUUGCACAAUGGGGGAAACCCUGAUGCAGCGACGCCGCGUGAGUGAAGAAGUAUCUCGGUACGUAAAGCUCGAUCAGCAGGGAAGAAAAUGACGGUACCUGACUAAGAAGCACCGGCUAAAUACGUGCCAGCAGCCGCGGUAAUACGUAUGGUGCAAGCGUUAUCCGGAAUGACUGGGUGUAAAGGGAGCGUGGACGGUUGUACAAGUCUGAUGUGAAAGCCCACGGCUCAACUGUGGGAGUGCAUUGGAAACUGUAGAACUAGAGUAUCGGAGAGGCA